rnacentral:rRNA from 1 species
CCUACGGGAGGCAGCAGUGGGGAAUAUUGGGCAAUGGAGGAAACUCUGACCCAGCGACGCCGCGUGCGGGAUGAAGGCCUUCGGGUUGUAAACCGCUUUCAGUAGGGAAGAAGCGAAAGUGACGGUACCUACAAAAGAAGCACCGGCUAACUAUGUGCCAGCAGCCGCGGUAAUACAUAGGGUGCAAGCGUUGUCCGGAAUUAUUGGGCGUAAAGAGCUCGUAGGUCGUUUGUUACGUCGGAUGUGAAAACCUGAGGCUCAACCUCAGGCCUGCAUUCGAUACGGGCAAACUAGAGUUUGGUAGGGGAGACUGGAAUUCCUGGUGUAGCGGUGGAAUGCGCAGAUAUCAGGAGGAACACCAAUGGCGAAGGCAGGUCUCUGGGCCAAUACUGACACUGAGGAGCGAAAGUCUGGGGAGCGAACAGGAUUAGAUACCCUGGUAGUCCAGACCGUAAACGGUGGGCACUAGUUGUGGGAACCUUCCACGGUUUCUGCGACGCAGCUAACGCAUUAAGUGCCCCGCCUGGGGAGUACGAUCGCAAGAUUAAAACUCAAAGAUAUGACGNGNGAGAGCGACGACGACGACGAGAGGAGAG